AUUGAACGCUGGCGGCAGGCCUAACACAUGCAAGUCGAGCGGGGUUUUCGGACCUAGCGGCGGACGGGUGAGUAAUGCGUAGGAAGCUGCCCGAUAGAGGGGGAUACCAGUUGGAAACGACUGUUAAUACCGCAUAAUGUCUACGGACCAAAGUGUGGGACCUUCGGGCCACAUGCUAUCGGAUGCGCCUACGUGGGAUUAGCUAGUUGGUGAGGUAAUGGCUCACCAAGGCGACGAUCUCUAGCUGGUUUGAGAGGAUGAUCAGCCACACUGGAACUGAGACACGGUCCAGACUGCUACGGGAGGCAGCAGUGGGGAAUAUUGGACAAUGGGCGCAAGCCUGGUCCAGCCAUGCCGCGUGUGUGAAGAAGGCCUUCGGGUUGUAAAGCACUUUCAGCGAGGAGGAAGGGGUGUGUGUUAAUAGUACACACCUUUGACGUUACUCGCAGAAGAAGCACCGGCUAACUCUGUGCCAGCCGCCGCGGUAAGAC
rnacentral:rRNA from 1 species